CCGAUGUAGAUACUUUACCAAAAUUCAUUUGUUUCCUUAAUAACCAUAUAUUUUCUUUCUGUUGCAGUGUGGCCAGACGUAGCUGUAGCUGCAGGGGCAAAAAAUAUGCCAACGAAAUAUGUGCCAGAAUUCCGAAUACGCAAAUACAAUGCCUGCCAAGAAUGUAAUCUCGAAAUGGCUGCGAGCGAAACAAGGAAAACAUAAACACCUACCAUGGUCCUAGCUAGGAAAUAAUUAAUGAAAAAAUAUGAAUGCCAGCGAUCCGGAUAUACUAGUGGCAAGAGGCCAACUGGAGAUACUAAAAGGACCAGAGUAUGAUUUCGGGACAACUACUUACAACGCAGUCCUCGACUUUAAUACCACCUUCGAAAACGCCACUGGCUUGAACUCUACGAGCGGAGAUACAUGGGACGACUAUAUUAAGCUGCUCCAAGAUCGAGCGCUACUCGUUAGCUUCUUGAUCCUGUUCUCCAUGACGACGGUGUUCGGCAACAUGCUAGUUAUUCUAGCUGUCGUGAGGGAACGGUACCUACACACCUCCACCAACUACUUCGUGACGUCCCUUGCAGUCGCGGAUUGUCUCGUCGGUUUAGUAGUAAUGCCAUUUUCGGCAAUGUACGAAGUGUUAGAGCAUACCUGGUUUUUUGGAGUGGAUUGGUGUGACGUUUGGCGGUCACUAGACGUAUUAUUUAGCACUGCUUCCAUACUUAAUUUGUGCGUGAUCUCUCUUGACCGCUACUGGGCUAUUACUGACCCCAUAACAUAUCCAAUGAAAAUGAGCGGACGGAAAGCCGCUUUCCUGAUUGCGGCCGUAUGGGUAUGUUCCGGGGCUAUAUCGUUUCCCGCUAUUGCGUGGUGGCGAGCCGUGCGAUUGGAGGAAGUGCCGGAUUAUAAGUGUCCGUUUACGGAAAACUUAGGAUACAUUAUAUUCUCAUCGACAAUAUCGUUUUAUUUGCCUCUGUUUGUGAUGGUGUUCACUUAUUAUCGCAUUUAUCGUGCGGCGACUAUUCAGACGAGAUCGUUGAAAAUCGGCACUAAGUCGAUAAUGCGCCCGAGUGGCGAGUUAGAGUUGACAUUAAGAAUCCACCGUGGUGGCACGGUGCGUCAGCGCAGCGACGCCUGCCACGGCGUAUGCACGCCAGAGGAAGCGGACCAGGAGCCGCUCACGGCGCUGCAAAACAACGGCCUGUCUCGUUCUUCCACGCGCCUCACGAACGUCGCCACUCAUGGCAAACAUUUGCCAAAAAACUUUUCGUUGUCGCGUAAACUGGCCAAAUUCGCGAAAGAGAAGAAAGCAGCAAAAACUUUGGGAAUAGUGAUGGGAGUAUUUAUAGUGUGCUGGCUGCCAUUUUUCGUGGUGAACCUGCUAUCGGGGAUUUGCUCGGCGUGCAUCGCGCACGAAGAGGUGGUCAACAUGAUUGUCACGUGGCUAGGCUGGGUCAACUCUUCAAUGAACCCGGUCAUCUACGCCUGUUGGAGCAGAGAUUUUCGUAGAGCUUUCCUAAGGAUCUUAUGCGUGUGUUGCCCGCGCAAGCUACGACGGAAGUACCAGCCCCAACUGCGCUCCAAACAGUCACAGUUCCGCUCGACUCGUCGCUAUUACUCAUCGAGCGAACUAACCGGGAUUCAGCAAAUUAGACAAAACUCCUGCGAACAAACUUACAUAUAGCGACUCGGCUUCACUCUAUACAAUCUACAUUUCUCCUUCAGAUUUCCAAGUGCCUUGUUGAGAUUUUUUCUAUUCUUUGUCUAACUUUGCUUAAAUUAGAUGUCUAUAAAAUAAUCAUUGAAGACAAACAAAUAAACUUUACUCAGUAAAUGAGUUUUCUGAGAAAAAACUUCAUCGUAACAGAUGUUGUAGAGUAUCCAGUGUCAACAAUGAUGUACUCGUCGGUGUCGCAGCACGAGAUGUGUCGCUUGUGACGGCAGGCGCGCGCGGGCACGUGCCGGCCGCCGCGCGCGCGCUGCUCCUGAUGCCGGGACCCGUUGGAGGCGCGCCCGCGCUCCAACAGACGCCACUCGAGGCACUACCCCGACUCAUUUCGCAUGAGGACUUUGGAACAUUCCUUCGAUAAUCCCAUACCGUGCGUGGAUCGCCAAGUGUGCCCGGACACUGUGCCCUACUGUCCGGAUUCUGAGUCCAGUGAAGUGAGCCUGGAGAGUGACAGUCGCCAUCAGUCGUUUAAACGAAACGUGGCUAAGAAAGUCACCUACCAAACCAAAGCAGAAGUAAUCUCAAGUUAAAAAUAUAGUAUCGUGAUUUGAUUGAAUGUGAAUCCUCUAAAUGUGCUUACGCUUUAUUUAAAAGGUGAUGGAUUGUAUAUUUAUUGUAAAUAUGUCGAUCAUAAAAUACAGCAAGACCAGAUUUUAUCAAUUAGUUACCAUCUGCCACUUUUUAAAUGACGCUAUAGUUUCAAAGAUAACUUAGUUGUCUAGUAAUAGAUGAGAAUAAUAAUUCUAUGGUUGUAUAACUUUCUAGUCAUUCUAAGAUCGAAUCUUUUGUUCUUGUCGUAAACCUCAACUUUACCUUUACAAUUUUAUUAAAUCCGACGACGUUUGAAACAGAUCAAUAAGAAAUCUAUAUUGUUUCCGUUAAACUCAACCAAACCUAAAUUCGUAUGGUAUUGUAGUGGUUCACAAUAAGAACAGACCAACCGAUGUUCAUUCGGUAAUAUGAAAUUUCAAUCAGGAGCUGUGAUUUACUGAUUAGCUAUGUAUAUAACACUUCGUGUACAUAUUGUACUUAAUAUGUUACUGUAUACGUACCUGGACGACUUUUUGUAAUAUUAACCGUAACCAUCGAGUUACCCAUCAGUUGAAACCGAAAUCAAAGAUUCAACCAGCCGGUAUAGUACAGUAGGUACUAUCUUGUAUAAUGAAAAUCGGGAAGUAAUACGCUUUCAUAUACCUGUACCUACCUAAUGUAAAUAAUCAUAAAUAAAUACAUUCCAAAUACUCUUAUUAGCAAUACGUCAAUUAUUGGAUGUUUGUUUACUUAAUAAUUGUUGUUAACCUCGAAGGUUAUGCAUAUUUAUAUAACGCAUAUAUUGUAAAUAAACAUAAUGGAGGUCUAAUUAAUAUGUUUUAAUAAAUAUGAAAUGUAAUUUAUGGUUAUUUAUGGGUCAUAUAUGAAGAGACGCAAUUCCUUACUUAGUAAUAAAAAUGAUGUAUGUUAAUUUGUUUGUAAUAAGUAUAAAUCGAAAGUCAUAUAUGUCAUAUAAUUUACCCAAAUAGUAGCAUUAAUGACCUAAAUUUCAAGUUCGUAAUAUUCUUUUGCUCAAAUUAUUUCACAUUCGAAACACACUUAAAUAAAGCAAGGAUUUCUUUAAGCAGUCUGCACCAGGUCUGCGCGCACUCAGAACUGGUUUGUUUCUCAUUGGCAUUUGAUCGCGAGCGAGCCUUCGCUUGCAGCAAUGUGUAAUUAUUGAAAGUGUGCCUAUAAUAUAACUACUACAGCCGGCGUAUUAUGGAUGGCUUUAUCCAUUUUUAUCCACGUGAUAAAAUAACUGUCACUUUUUAACACCGUGGGAUAGAAAGUGACGGACACCGUUUUAUCACGCUGUCACAUAGACAAGAACGACCAUCAUAUCCGCACAGAUCUCGAUGUCACAAUUAGCUACAUGCAUGAUUGUUUUUUUUUUUAAUUUUUUCAAUUGAAUUUAUUUAUUUUGCUAGAACAUGUACACAGUUG